ACCCUCCAUAGUCCUUACCCCUCAAAUCUAAAGAUCGGUCAGAGCGGCUUAAAAAGGAGGAAACGGAAAACUGAGGCAGACUUGGGGUCUUUAAUGUCUUACAAGUUCAUUUAAAACAUUA
rnacentral:snoRNA from 1 species